CGCCGCGUGAAGGAUGAAGUCUUUCGGGACGUAAACUUCUUUUUAUCGAGGAAGAAGAAUGUGACGGUACUCGAUGAAUAAGCCCCGGCUAACUACGUGC
rnacentral:rRNA from 1 species